CAGACCUAUGGCCUCUUGCUUCUCAAACCCAGGAGCAACACACACACAGUGCCGCAGUCUUUGUCUGACUGCUGUGAAAGUCCGAUGGCUCAGGAAUACUAAUCCCACUCGCAUGUCAUUUGGACGGACCAGAGGAGCAGCUAAUGGGGCAGGCGAGAUGAGGAGGAGACACUGUCGAUGGCUGUGUGGCAGUGUGUGUGAGUGGCAGAGUCCUCCCAGCCACAGAGAUAAAGAUUAGCAAAGGCCGAGCUGAACACAGAGGUCCAUUUACUGCACAUGGCACUGCACAUCAUCCCGCUACUGCUGCCAGUGAAAAACAGGCCUUCCACUUUGGGCAGAGUGAGACCUCAAUGGCAUGAUCAGGGGAUGGAGAGUGGAAGUGUGAUGAGAGAGGAGGAGUAAGAGAGAAAGAUAAAUGGGCUUAAUGGACUAUCAUGAAUGCAUUGGGCGGAGUCAUGCCAGUGUCACUCAUUCCACCCCCUCUGAAUGAUCUCUGACCUGUCCUUGACUGGAAUUGAAUCCCUGCUCUGAUCAUCUGCUGACCAUUAAACCAGCCUGAGCCAUGCCAAAUACCACAGCUGAUUCUUCAGGGCAGUGACGGACAUUGUAGGUACUCAUCAGCGAGUGAUAAUUCAACAGUAAAGGCUGCCACAGAAAAUGACCGUUUAUGAGUCCAAAACAGGGGGAGUCACUGUUUAAUAUUUCAUAUUCAUUAACAUUUGGAAGAAACUGUGAUUUAAAAGGGGGAAAAUCAAGUAUGAGAUUCUUUGGCAAAUGUUAAAAUGGUCCAGGAUUAAGCUGCUGUUAAUUAUUUAUGAACAUGAAUUUCACGAUUAUGGGUCUGACUGACGCACUGCAUUGAGCAGCUCCAAUUGAACACACAAUCAGUGGAUUUGAAAUAUGUCUCUGUUUCUCCAAGCUAAGUGUUAAGGCAUGAAUCAUUAAAUAUUUGCUGCAUUAAUUAUUCAGAUACGCCAAUUCUUAUUAGAAAAUAGGGUGAAGAAACUAAAAGUGUGUUAAAAUAAGACAGAAACAUCAUCUUGUCUAAGGGUCUGGAUGAAGUUAUUUGCUCUGGAGAUGUGUGUGUUCAGACUGUUUUGCUCCAUGUGCUGAAUCAGAGUCUUAUGGAAAGUGUGACCUGCUGCAGGGUGGGAUGGCUUCCUUGUUUUAUCUUUCAUUUUCUCAGCAUCCUUCCGUUAAAAGCUUCUAAAGAAUGAACUUGAUGAACUUCUUACAUUUUAGUUUGCAGCAGUUAUGCUCUUAACAAAACAGAAUCACCAUGAGGUACUGUAAUGUGUUUGUUCAGCAAGGAUUUUUUUUUAAUUAGUAUUGUAAUGUAUUUUGUUCAUUAAUUAGUUGAUUUUACAUUGAUUUUUAAUUUUAUAAUUUAACUUCCAAGCAAGGUUUUGUUAAGCCAACCAGUUUAAAUUGAUAAAAAUUUAUUUUCCUGUUACUGUGUCUAAACCCUCCUCUGACCAAUGCACAAUUAUUCACUGAAACUCAAUAGUUUUGGAUCCUGCAGCUUAAAUGUUCUGCACAUUUCUGACAGUCUUUUUGCAUAAGCAUGAUAUUAGUCAGAGGUGAACUGAGCUGAUCUUACCUUAUGAAAUCCCCUUCAUUACCAUUAUAUUAAACACUGGGCCAUUCACCAAAGUUUAGAGAGGCCAUAAUGUUCUGUCCUCGUGUUUGCCACUGAUUAAGGUUUUGAUUGAGUGAUUAAAAGCUUUCCUGUGGUUCUCCCUCCUGCUGACCUCUUGCUGUGGCGCUCUUGCUCAGAAAUCAUUUAAAUUUUCUCUAACUGUCAAGAGAGGCCCACUCGUUGCAUCAAGCCUCUUUCCUGAAUGGCUGCACACAUUAGCAUAGCGCACAUAACGAGCACUCUGACCCGAGAUGCACCCAAAAGGGGCUUUUAACGGUUAAGGCUUCACCUUUUAUCCAUAGAGAAGCUUGUAGUGCUAAACUAAACCACCCUGACCACUUUAACAGUUAAGUCACUCUGAAGUGGCGAUAAGGGCCGAGCAUUACAUAAAUUGUUAAAAGUGCUCUGGGUGAAGCACGGAUAUUUGUGUGCAUGUGGAAAAAAUGGGUGGAUCAGGUGGUGUAAUUGAUAAAAAAUAAAAAUAAAAAAUUACAGAGGUGAAAUUGCAUUUUAUGGCAAACAGCGUUGCUACGCUGGUUCUCAUUACACUGUCACAGAUGUGUAACACAGGGGCAGCUUUUGUGAGUUUCGGAUGCAUUGUGGUGUAAACAAAGACAUCUGUUCAGUGUUUAGAUUUGUAUGCUGAAAAAAAGCCUGAAAAAGCAGGCUGGUAAUACAGGAACAACAGUAUAUUGAUUAAUCCAUGACACUUGGUGAAUGUGUCACUAGAUGUGCUUCUGUUGUGUUAUGUAAACUGUUAUAUUUUAGGGUGCUAUAGUUGAAUUCAAUAAGAUUUUAAAGUGAAAUUAGGACCGUGUCCUAACUAGGUUUGAACCAGUUUCCACACAAUCACAGCCAAACAGAGCAAAUCUGGUGUUUAAUGCAGCAAAUGGAUAUGCGCUUUUGUUCUUACAAGAAUAGUUCACCUGAAAAUGAAAAUUAGCUGAAACGGUUGAAUUCUGAUGACUGGUGAGCAAGUAAUGUAAUCCUAAAUUUCUACAAAUCUGUCCCUAUUAAGAAACAAACUCAUCUACAUCUUGGAUGGCCUUAGGGUACAUUUUCAGUUUUGGGUGAAUUAUUCCUUUAAAAUGCAGAGAAACACAUUUCGAGUAAGUUGUUAGUAUCAAGUAACUUACAUUUUAGACACAAUAUGGCAGGUGCUUACGUUAUCUUACUUUUUUCCUCUGCCAAACCAAAUUAAUUCUAAAGAUCUGGUCACAUUAGUGAAAUUUUGUUGGGGGUAAAAAAAGGCCAUUGUCUGUUGUCAGUCAUGUAGUGAUGUACAAAGCACUUUCGAACCAAGCAGCUUUUGGUCAUCAUGGCAAAUUCACAUGCCCAAUGUGAAAUCUGUGUUGGGAAGACUUUAGCACUCACACGAAACUGGAUUUUGCCCAUGAGAAAAAUAGCUGAACAAUGUCAAUUCCAAACAAAGCUACAGCAUAAGAAAAUGUGCCGUCACAUUGUUGUUUUGCAGCUGAAAACAUUCAUUUCAAUAGGAAUCCACUAUACACAACUCAUUUAUUGCUUGUGCUACUGACAGAUAUUUGCUUUUGCAUGUUUAUAUGAAUGUAAGUCAUGGACAUAAAUGCAUGUAAAAUAUCACAUAGCUGUACCUCUCACUAAUUUGCCCUGCAGUGAACCCAGAGGCAGUGGAUAACAUGCCUCUUUCUCUGCGCUCUUGUCUUGUGAAUGAAUUUUAAUGGAAUGUGUGACUAGGAAGCAGUGUGGCGAUGGUCUGUGGAUAUGAAUUACAAACAUUUGACAUUGUAUUACAUGCAAUGUCUGUGACCUUCCGUGCAUAUUAAAAUACACCUGCAGUGCUUAACCAUGUGAAUAAUAAUUAUGACAGUUAUGUAAGCUGAAAUAAGGAGAUAAUUACUUUAGUGUUUUUUUAUUUAGACAGAGCAAUAUGUUUAGAUGCAUUUUUUUGUGAUUGGUGUAAGGUUACAUAGAUCCUUGUUAUCAAGUCAUGAUCUAACAACUGUGUAGCAGAUUCAUAUGUAUUGCUUUAUGUGAUCUGGAAUGCAUAGGCUAACCUUACUUGAUAUAUUUACACCUCUCAUUCUUUCUUUAUUUCUCUGCAUGUGGAUUUACUGAGGGCAUGUGAGAGGUCAGAGUAAGACACCAUAAUAAAGGAGAUGAAUAAUAGAACUGAUGGCUGCCGGUCAGGAGGGCAGGCCGGGCUAUUUUCUUGCCUCUCAUCGUCAGUCUCUCGAGCCAACACAUGACCAGGGCACCAGAGGUUAUGCUAACAACCUUUAAGUGCAGAUCCUCUGACUCCAGAGAAGCGGUCGCCCCUGCAGACAUCAGAUGUGAGGAAACAGUCAGAUAACAGCGAUUCAGCCUGUUAGGAACCUCCCGAAUGCGUUCCAGCAGAUUGUGGUCAGAUAAACAGUUCUCAGGGCAAAACUUCAAGCAGAGCACGCUCCUCGACGACCUCCUGAGGAGAGAAAAGAGGCGAGGAGAUGGGUUACUGCUUACACCUCCCAGUAUGGAGGCUGUUCUCUCAGUCUCUCCAUCCCGGCAUUGUUUUCAAUUUAGUUGUCUCCGUUCCUCAACGCGGCAGGCAGACAUGCUCUCCAGGGCAAGUAAGCUCACAUUACGUCUUGCUUUUCAAGAUCUUCCCCUGGUUUCAUGUUCUGUUAAGCCACAGGUAAAUGCUCGACACACCGCCGGGGUCCUCGGCAGAACGGCUGACCAGAGGAACAGCGCCCUAGCAGUUAAACAUAGGGAUUCACACUUGUCUGGUUCUGAGCUCGCUUCCAAUCUGGGUUUUGGAUACAAGUCAAAGAUAACAGCUGUACACGUUGAGGGAUCAGUGAACCCAGCUGACUCCCUGGCAGCCAGAACACCGGCAGGAACCAGCUCAUAAUUAGAAACGUUUUGGGUCAUCUUGAGGAGAAACGGAGAGAAGAGAGACAUGCAGGGAGAAUAAGAGUGACCUCCUCCUCCUCCUCUUCUUCUUCAAAGCAACACUUUUUAAAUUAUGCAGGCAGACUGGUGUGGGCUUACCUGCCCUGAGGAGCAGCAAUAUUUCAUACAAGAGGAAGCUUGUCAACAGCAGCAGGUUACAAGAAAGCCGAGGCGCUCUUGAUGGGGAAAAAAAUAAAUAGAAAGAGCAAAUGUUAAUGAAAGAAGGCGACAUUUGCUCCUUUGCUCAUUCCAUGUGAAUACAUGAUUUAUAGGGCUUUAUUGGUUUUAAUAUGGGAACCUUGAAGAACUACUUCAUUCAUUUAGACAUUUAUGCUCUGGAUGUAUGAACUCACUCUGUCACAAUUACAUAUGACAGUUCACUUGUUUGCUCUUUUUUUUACAUCUUGUAUGCAAUGAUUGUUACGGUAUACCUUAAAC
ensembl:lncRNA